GAUGAAGAACGUAGUGAAAUGCGAUAAGUAAUGUGAAUUGCAGAAUUCAGUGAAUCAUCGAAUCUUUGAACGCACAUUGCGCCCGCCAGUAUUCUGGCGGACAUGCCUGUCUGAGCGUCAUUUCAACCCUCAUGCCCCUAGGGCGUGGUGUUGGGGAUCGGCCAAAGCCCGCGAGGGACGGCCGGCCCCUAAAUCUAGUGGCGGACCCGUCGUGGCCUCCUCUGCGAAGUAGUGAUAUUCCGCAUCGGAGAGCGACGAGCCCCUGCCGUUAAACCCCCAACUUUCCAAGGUUGACCUCAGAUCAGGUAGGAAUACCCGCUGAACUUAAGCAUAUCAAUAAGCGGAGGA
rnacentral:misc_RNA from 1 species